UGAGGAACAUGACCUUCGGCGGGGGAUAGCCGGCCCAACGGCCGGGUAAUACCGCGUACGACCACUCGGGGACAUCCCUAGGUGGUGAAAGCAGCAAUGCGCCGAUGGAGUGCCUCGCGGCCUAUCAGCUAGUUGGUGAGGUAACGGCUCACCAAGGCGACGACGGGUAGCUGGUCUGAGAGGAUGGCCAGCCACAGUUGGGACUGAGACACGGCCCAGACUCCGUACGGGAGCAG
rnacentral:rRNA from 1 species